rnacentral:misc_RNA from 1 species
GAUGAAGAACGUAGCGAAAUGCGAUAAGUAGUGUGAAUUGUAGAAUUCAGUGAAUCAUCGAAUCUUCGAACGCACAUUGCGCCCCUUGGUAUUCCAUGGGGCAUGCCUGUUCGAGCGUCAUUUGUACCUUCAAGCUCUGCUUGGUGUUGGGUGUUUGUCUCGCCUCUGCGUGUAGACUCGCCUCAAAACAAUUGGCAGCCGGCGUAUUGAUUUCGGAGCGCAGUACAUCUCGCGCUUUGCACUCAUAACGACGACGUCCAAAAGUACAUUUUUACACUCUUGACCUCGGAUCAGGUAGGGAUACCCGCUGAACUUAAGCAUAUCAAUAAGCGGAGGA